rnacentral:tRNA from 1 species
UAGCGAAUAGUUUAAGAUAAAACAAUAGGUUGUGGAUCUAGAGAUGGGGGAAACUUUUCGUUAG